rnacentral:misc_RNA from 1 species
CUAAGCUCUAUAGCAAUGGGCUUGAGUGUCCCAAGGGGGGUCAAGAAAAAUAUGGUUCGAGUUGCAUAUGCUUUUCUACUGUCAAGGGCAUUAAUGCGGUCCAAAAAUGGGAGAUAAAUAUCAUGAUAAUCCACUAUAAACAGUUUAUUUUCCUCCAAGGCCUCUUUAACAGACAUGCCAUUCAGAUGUCCUAUAAUGUGCUCUUCUUUAAGAGCAGACUCCUGUGGACCGUAGAUUUCAGGAUCAAG